UGUCAGCGAGGCUUCCCUGUUAGAUA
rnacentral:piRNA from 1 species